UACGUAGGUGACAAGCGUUGUCCGGAUUUACUGGGCGUAAAGAGCGCGCAGGCGGUCGAUCAAGUCGAGUGUGAAAGCCCCCGGCUCAACUGGGGAGGGUCAUUCGAUACCGAUCGACUCGAAGGCAGGAGAGGGUAGUGGAAUUCCCGGUGUAGUGGUGAAAUGCGUAGAUAUCGGGAGGAACACCAGUGGCGAAGGCGACUACCUGGCCUGUUCUUGACGCUGAGGCGCGAAAGCUAGGGGAGCAAACGGG
rnacentral:rRNA from 1 species